ACGAGCAGUUCUGGAAACGGAAGCAUUCUAUUUAACUACAGAACAGGUACAGUACAAGGUGAUAGUGCAAGCUUCCCCCGCAGUAUGUUUCAACAUGACCUAAAAUGAUGACUUCUAGGGUUGAAAGGCAGUUCAGUCUCCAUGCCCAUUCAAUCCUUGUCUCCU
rnacentral:sRNA from 1 species